rnacentral:rRNA from 1 species
AGCAGCCGCGGUAAUUCCAGCUCCAAUAGCGUAUAUUAAAGUUGCUGCAGUUAAAAAGCUCGUAGUUGAAUUUCGGGACCGAUAUAUCGGUCGUGCCUCGGUACGUACUGGUAUUUUCGGUUUCUACCUUCUGACGAACCUUGAUGCCAUUAAUUUGGUGUCUUGGGGAAUCAGGACUGUUACUUUGAAAAAAUUAGAGUGUUUAAAGCAGGCUCACGCUUGAAUACAUUAGCAUGGAAUAAUGAAAUAGGACGUUUGAUUCUAUUUUGUUGGUUUCUAGGAUCGACGUAAUGAUUAAUAGGGAUAGUUGGGGGCAUUAGUAUUCAAUUGUCAGAGGUGAAAUUCUUGGAUUUAUUGAAGACUAACUACUGCGAAAGCAUUUGCCAAGGAUGUUUUCAUUAAUCAAGAACGAAAGUUAGGGGAUCGAAGACGAUCAGAUACCGUCGUAGUCUUAACCAUAAACUAUGCCGACUAGGGAUCGGAUGAUGUAAUUUUUAAUGACUCAUUCGGCGCCUUACGG